AGCCCAUGGAAAGGGCAGAGCCUUAAAAAGUCCUUAAAACGCUCUUAUGCGUCAAACAAAGAUUCUCCAUCUUCUUGCCUAAAGUUGUUGAUCUUAUUUCUAACU